CGUAAUAUGCUUUGAAAAGAAAUCAAACUUUGUACUUUAUCAAAAUCUGUACAUAUAUAUAUUUAUAAAUAUUUAUUGUUUACAAAAUUACAUUGUACAAAAACCAUAAUAGAGCGGCUAACAAAAUGAAAUCAGAGUUUCUAGCUCGGCUACAAAAAUGGCUCGAAGCAUGGCAUAUUAACAAAUCUCUGUCUGGCCGCUCUUGGCUAGGUCAACUUCUAAACAUGUACAUCAUUACCUGCAUCAUAAGAACCUAAUGAGCUAAUGGCUCAGCAAGUUGAAACUGAUGUAAUAGCAAUAUAUCAAUCACAUAACACAUUAUUCAUUCAAUAAGUACAAUAUCACAUCUAUAACUUCAUUCGUGAUCCUAUUCUUUGAAAUCCUUCUCUUUAUCGGGUACCCUUGAAGUGUGGUACUUGAGUGAUAGCAAUAGACUUUGAUUUUCGGAACCUGUUCAUGAUAUUUGGCCAAUAGAUAAUACGGGGUUUCCAUACCGGCCUUUCGACCUCAGGUAUUAGCCGUAUUUCAUUUCUUUAAUUAUGGGUUUUCCAUACUGGUCUUUCGACCUCAGGUAUUUGCCACCAUGUGUUGGGUCCGCCGGUUCCUCCCGCGUCCCUUGCCUACUCGACCAUCAAUCAAGUACCAUACCCCCAUUUUCAAAACAUAUUGUUUCAUAUUACUAUGACUCAUCAAUCAUUCAAAUAUCAUGAAGAACAGUAGCAAAAGUCACAUUAAAGCACACAUAAUUAGGUUCUUAUGAUGAGCAAAUGAAAGCUUCAACUUACCUCAAAAUCAAUAUGGUUUAUGAAGUGAAAGGAUCAGCAAGCUUAGAUAAGGUGUGCUAGAAGCCUUGAUUAGAGACAAAUUCAAACUUCAAAACAUAGGAUUUUCAGCUAGAAAAGGUGCAAAACUUGUUCUAGCUCUACUUUUGUGAGUUCUUAUGUUUAAUGUUCUCUUAUGUGAGUAUGGAAGUGAAGAAAUCUGAAGAGAAGCUUGAAGAAAUAGGUCUGGUCAUUUUUUUUGGAAGAAGACAAGUAAAAUGAAGACCAAAACACAAAGUCUUCACUUAUCUACCCAUUCCCAACAAGGCCAAAUGGAGGAUGGUGAUUGGAAGGCUUAUAUUUGCUGGAUUCUUGUGGUUCCUCCACGUUUUUCUAGCUUGAGAUAAGAUAUGGGCUGAUGGUUACUCAUUAUAAUCAAGUGUAAACAAUUUGAGAAUGAUCUUGUGCAACCUAGUCAACCAACCAAUCAAAUUGCACUCUUUUGCAUACUUUGAUUUUAGUCUAAUAUGACCUACUUCAAGUAAUUAUAUAUGUAAUUAAUCAUAUUAAAAAUGUAAUUAAAAUGCAGAAAUGCAAUUAAGACAAUCUAUAUCACCGUUUAUCACAUUGAUCCCUUCUUAACCGAGGAACUGAGCUUCUCACUACAAUAAAUCACUUAAGUUCACGUUAAAUCAUAAAGUAGAAGUUCAAUAACAUGUAUCAUGUAUUAGCACAUUUUAAGAAAAGUAUUCGAUCACGUAUUAAAACGCAAUUAAGGCACACGUGUAGCAAGUAGUCGUGAUCAUGCAUCAUGAAUAAUGAAUUAUAAUUACAUGCAUUGAUGCAAUAUGCUUAUUAUUGGCCAUGCAUGGAUGAUUGGGCAUCACAAUCCUUCCCUCCUUAUAAAAUUUUGCCCUCGAAAUUUGACGUACAGAAUAAUUCUGGAUAUUUGCUAUGCAUUUCUUCCUCUCUUUCCCACGUGGCUUCUUCAAUAGAUUGAUUUCUCCACAAUACCUUAACUAACGGAGUCUUUUUAUUUCUCAGCUCCUUAACUUUUUGAUCAAUAAUUUGAAUUGGUUUCUCCUCAUAAGACAAAUCUGCAGAAAACUCCAACGGUUCAUAACUCAACACAUGAGAGGGAUUUGAGAUGUACUUCUUCAACAUAGAUACAUGGAAAACAUUGUGAACACCAGAUAAUGAAGGAGGUAAGGCUACUCUAUAUGCUCUAUCACCAACUCUUUCAAGGAUUUCAAACGGACCAACAUAUCUUGGACUAAGUUUUCCUUUCUUUCCAAAUCUCAUUAUGCCUUUCAACAUAUCUUCGUUUAUCUGCAUAACUUUUCUGCCUACUCUGUGCCGUCUUCAUUCUUUCCCUUAUCUUUGCUACCGUACCGGCAGUUUGUUGCACCAUCUCUGGCCCAAGUAGACUUCUUUCGCCAACUUCAUCCCAAUGAACUGGAGAUCUACAUUUUCUCCCAUAUAGUGCUUCAUAAGGGGCCAUUCCAAUUGUAGAUUGAUAGCUGUUAUUGUAAGUGAACUCUAUCAACGGAAGCUUUUCAUCCCAGCUCCCUUUCAAAUCUAGAAUACAAGCUCUUAACAUAUCCUCAAGUAUUUGAAUAACUCUCUCGGAUUGUCCAUCAGUCUGUGGAUGAAAUGUUGUACUAAAUGCAAGCUUCGUUCCCAUGGCAUUGUGCAAACUCUUCCAAAAUGCAGAAGUAAACUUAGGAUCUCUAUCAGAUACUAUUGACACUGGCACUCCAUGCAAUCUAACUAUCUCUUUAAUAUAUUGUUGUGCAUAUUGCUCCAUGUUGAAUGUGGACUUUACUGGAAGAAAAUGGGCUGAUUUAGUUAGUCUAUCAACAAUCACCCAUAUUGAAUUGUAUCCCCGUUGUGUUCUAGGCAUUCCAAGCACAAAAUCCAUUGUAAUAUGCUCCCAUUUCCACUCUGGAAUCAGUAAAGGUUUCAAUAGUCCUGCUGGUCUUUGAUGUUCCAUUUUGACUUGUUGACGAGUGAGGCAUUCAGCCACAAACUUUGCUAUAUCUUUCUUCAUGUUAGGCCACCAGUAUUGAAGUUGUAAGUCUUUGUACGUUUUCGUGCUGCCCGGGUGCACUGAGUAAGGACUUCUGUGAGCUUCUUCCAAAAUGUCGCCCUUUAUGUUAGCAUCAAAAGGAACACACAAUCUGCCUUUAUAUCGAAUCAUUUCAUCAUGACCAAUAGAGAAGUUCGGCCUCUUCUUAGCAUCAAUCAUACUUCGCAACCUACACAAAUACUUAUCCACUUUCUGAGCCUCUUUGAUUCGGUCAUGCAGUGCGGGUUUUAAUACUAAAGAUGUUAAAGAAUUAACCAUCCCUUUAGGUACAUUUCAAGCUCUAAUCUUUGUAAAUCCAGUAGUAUUGGUUUCUGUAUAACAAGAAAGGAAGAUAUAGAUUUUCUGCUCAAUGCAUCUGCGACCACAUUAGCUUUACCAGGAUGAUAGUUAAUCACACAGUCAUAAUCCUUCACAAGUUCUAACCAUCUUCGUUGUCUCAUAUUCAAUUCUUUCUGGGUGAAGAAGUACUUCAAGCUCUUGUGAUCCGUGUAAAUUUCACAUUUCUCACCAUAUAGGUAAUGCCUCCAAAUUUUUAAGGCAAACACAACGGCAGCAAGCUCUAAAUCAUGAGUUGGGUAAUUCUUCUCAUACUCCUUCAAUUGUCUUGAAGCAUAGGCGAUGACAUUCCCAUGUUGCAUCAAUACAGCACCCAAUCCAUUUUUUGAAGCAUCACUAUACACUACGAAUCCACCUGUUCCAGAAGGAAUGACAAGAACAGGAGCUGUAGUCAAUCUCCGUUUCAACUCUUGAAAGCUACUUUCACAUGCAUCAGUCCAUACAUACUUCACGUUCUUUCGUGUAAGCAUUGUUAAUGGAGUUGCUAUCUUCGAAAAUCCCUGAACAAAUCUUCGAUAAUAUCCUGCCAAUCCUAAGAAACUUCUAACCUCUGAUGCAGUUGUUGGUGUUGGCCAAUUUUUGACAGCUUCUAUCUUACUCGGGUCGACAUAAAUACCAUUCUUGGUCACGACAUGCCCUAGGAAUACAACUUGAUCAAGCCAAAACUCGCACUUCUUAAAUUUAGCAUAUAGUUGCCUUUCUUUCAAUAUUUGCAGUACCACUCUCAAAUGUUCUCUAUGUUCGUCUUUAUCAUGGGAGUAGAUCAAGAUAUCAUCAAUGAACACAAUCACAAAUUUGUCGAGGAACUCCUUGAACACCCUAUUCAUCAAAUCCAUAAAAGCUGCGGGGGCAUUUGUUAAGCCAAAGGGCAUGACUAGAAAUUCAUAAUGUCCGUACCUUGUUCUAAAUGCAGUCUUUUGUAUGUCCUCCUCCUUUAUUUUCAAUUGAUGAUACCCGGAGCGUAAAUCGAUCUUCGAAAAUAUAGAUGCUCCUUGCAAUUGAUAAACCAAAUCAUCUAUUCUGGGUAGUGGAUACUUGUUCUUGAUUGUAAGUUUGUUCAGUUCUCUAUAAUCGAUGCAUAAACGUAAUGUACCAUCUUUCUUUUUCACAAACAAAACCGGUGCUCCACAAGGAGAAUAACUCGGCCGAAUAAGACCUUUAUGCAACAAGUUUUGUAGUUGAAUCUUCAACUCUUUUAGUUCUAUUGGUGCCAUUCUGUAUGGAGCUUUAGAAAUAGGGGCACUUCCGGGCAACGUAUCAAUAACAAAUUCAAUUUCUCGAUCCGGUGGCAGUCCUGGUAAGUCAUCUGGAAAUACCUCAAGAAAUUGAUCAACCACAUCCACAUCUUGGGGUUUCAAUUGUGUUCCUACUGAAGUGUCCAUAACAUUAGCCAAGUAUCCAACACAACCCUUACUCAUCAUCUUUUGAGCCUUCAAUGCAGCUAUAAAUGGUAUUGAAGAUGAAAGUGAAUGACCGCCGAACUCGAAAUGUUCUUCACCAGGUGGCUGAAAGAUGACAACCUUCCGAUUACAAUUAAUGGUUGCAUAAUAUUUUGUAAGCCAAUCCAUGCCCAAAAUGGUCUCAAAAUUUGCGACAGGUAAAACAACAAGCUAAGAUCCGCACGAAGUGUUCUACCACGUAUCUGAAUAGAACAAUGUUUCAACAUUUGGUUGGAAUUCAUCUCUUCCCCUGAUGGAGUCAUUACACUGUACAUCACAUCCAACGUAUCUGGUAUAAUGCCCAAUCUCCUCACCAAUGAAUGUGAUGCAAAUGAAUGAGUAGAUCCUGAGUCUAUUAAUGCAAGUGCUGGAGUUCCUAAAAUCAAAAUAGUACCUGAGACAACGGAUGCAUCUACAUCAGCUUGUUCUUUAGUCAUUGCAUACACUCUCGCUUGAACUUUGACUAGUGGGGUGCGACAAUCCCUUGAAAUAUGCCCUGGCUUCUUACACUUGAAGCAACGAUUUAAACCGCUAUAGCAUUCUCCAAAAUGAUUCUUCCCACAUGUGGCACACUUGGGCUUUUCAACCGUAGUAGAACUUUGUACAACUCUAGGGCGCUUCUCAUUUAUUUGGCUGAAUUUUUUGCUCUGGUUUCUUCCAUUGAGAUUGAGUUCUUUGAGUGAAAGUUUUCCUCUUGUGUUGAUGAAAUUUCUGAAUUUCCUUCUCAUCAAAGUCAGCCAUCAAUGCGUUGUCCACCACUUGUCGAAACUCGUUUGGAGAAGAGAUCCUUACAUCUUUUCUAAUAACUGGGUUGAGGCCUCUCAUGAAGUGAUCCAUCUUUUCUUUGUUAUCUUUGGCUAUGUAAGGUACAUACUUGCAACCCUCCUCGAAUUUUCGCACGUAGUCACAUACGGACAUUUCAUUCUGCUUCAAUUCUAAGAACUCUUUAACUUUGAGUGACCGGACAUCCCUCGUGAAAUACUUGUCAUAAAAGAUUGUUUUGAAUGCCUCCCAUGUCAACUUCUCCAUAUCCACUACAAGUUUUGUACCCUCCCACCAAGUUCUAGCUUCUUUCUUCAAUAGGAAAAUGGCACAAAGUACUUUCUCGGAAUCUUCGAUACGCAUGUAAUCAAAGAUGACAUCAAGAGAUUUAACCUAUUCUUCCGCAACCAUAGGAUCAGACCCACCAUAGAAAUCAACCGGUUCCAUUUUUCGAAACUUCUCAUACACGGUAAGCGAGUUAUCGUGUCUAGCUUGUGGAGGAGGUUGUUGGUUUUGUUCGUGGGUUCGCUGUUGCAUAUCGAACAAUUUUUGUAUCUGUUCGCCAUGCAUUCUAGUCUGUUGCUGAAUCAAACCAGCUAAGUUAUCAACUAAGUUGUAGUCACCCUUGUGGUCAACAUUCCCUGUCUUCUUUUUUGGUGCCAUUACUUCCUAUACAUUGCCGAAUCUCAUCCCAUUCAUUAGCCAAUACUAAUGCACAAUCAUGAAAAUGGCAUAUACAUGUUAAUAUAAUCAAACACAUAGGUAAAUAAGAGGAGAGUUAACCAAGCUUCCCAGCCAAAGUAUGUUCAUAUGCCUUCUUCUGUCUUCAGAAAAGAUUUUAAACCUCCGCUCUGAUACCACAAAAUGUAACGCCCCACAACCUAACAGCAGAAUCCAGUCGGAUCACCACCAUUAAGUUAGAGAUGCUAACCUUUUUAUAUGUACUUAAACAUUAUGGUUUUAAUACGAAAAUACGUAAUAUGCUUUUAAAAGAAAUCAAACUUUGUAUUUCUCAAAAUCUGUACAUAUAUAUAUAUUUAUAAAUAUUUAUUGUUUACAAAAUUACAUUGUACAAAAACCAUAAUAGAGCGGCUAACAAAAUGAAAUCAGAGUUUCUAGCUCGGCUACAAAAAUGGCUCGAAGCAUGGCAUAUGAACAAAUCUCUGCCUGGCCGCUCUUGGCUAGGUCAACUUCUAAACAUGUACAUCAUUACCAGCAUCAUAAGAACCUAAUGAGCUAAUGGCUCAGCAAGUUGAAACUGAUGUAAUAGCAAUAUAUCAAUCACAUAACACAUUAUUCAUUCAAUAAGUACAAUAUCACAUCUAUAACUUCAUUCGUGAUCCUUUUCUUUGAAAUCCUUCUCUUUAUCGGGUACCCUUGAAGUGUGGUACUUGAGUGAUAGCAAUAGACUUUGAUUUUCGGAACCUGUUCAUCAUAUUUGGCCAAUAGAUAAUACGGGGUUUCCAUACCGGCCUUUCGACCUCAGGUAUUAGCCGUAUUUCAUUUCUUUAAUUGUGGGUUUUCCAUACUGGUCUUUCGACCUCAGGUAUUUGCCACCAUGUGUUGGGUCCGCCGGUUCCUCCCGCGUCCCUUGCCUACUCGACCAUCAAUCAAGUACCAUACUCCCAUUUUCAAAACAUAUUGUUUCAUAUUACUAUGACUCAUCAAUCAUUCAAAUAUCAUGAAGAACAGUAGCAAAAGUCACAUUAAAGCACACAUAAUUAGGUUUUUAUGAUGAGCAAAUGAAAGCUUCAACUUACCUCAAAAUCAAUAUGGUUUAUGAAGUGAAAGGAUCAGCAAGCUUAGAUAAGGUGUGCUAGAAGCCUUGAUUAGAGAUGAAUUCAAACUUUCAAACAUAGGAUUUUCAGCUAGAAAAGGUGCAAAACUUGUUCUAGCUCUACUUUUGUGAGUUCUUAUGUUUAAUGUUCUCUUAUGUGAGUAUGGAAGUGAAGAAAUCUGAAGAGAAGCUUGAAGAAAUAGGUUUGGUCGUUUUU
rnacentral:lncRNA from 1 species